UCGCUGGAAAAAAUACCCGUACGCUUCCCUCGCCUCGACCCUGCCUUGCCGAGCCAAAUCCCCUAGCCGCCGCCGCACCACUCGCCGCCGCCGCCGCCGCCGCACCUCUGCCCGCUCGCCGCCCCUGCCGCAGCGCUCGAGCGCAGCUUCUGGAUCAGGUCAGCGCGGCGGCUCGAGGGGCUGGGGACGAUGCGUCUGCUCGGCGCAGACCGGCGGCGGCGGGAUCCAGCGGGCGCGGGAGAAGGAGGUAUCCGGCGCGGCGGGAGAGGUCCUUGCAGGUGGAGGCAGGCCUCCAUGGCUGGCAAGGAGAGCUCCAAGGUCAUGGCGGGGCUUUGAUUUUUCUGGUAUAAAAGAGAGACAGAGGGGGAUCCAGGGAGGAGGAGAGGUAGGAGAAGAAGGACGGGGAAGAAGGAAGGGUGCGGCAGGGGUGCAGCGGUGCGAGGGCACUGGUCUCGCGCGUGAGGAGCGCCUCUCCUCGGGAGGAUAGGGAGGGAGCGAGUGAAACUCAAAUCCACUUCAGAUCAAGGUAAUGUUGUAGAAGUACGAAGAAGCAAGCUGACCAGAUGUACACGUACUAGCCGGCAACGACGAUGAAGCAAGCCAACCAGAUGUGCACGAAACUACCAUACAUCAUGCCUGAUUGAUCCUCCGGUACGUGUUCCAUUGGCUAAUAGCCCAUGCUAGCUAGCUAGCAACCAUGUAAAUUUCCCACGCUUGAUCGAUUCCUUUAGCACUUUAUUAAUUUUAUAUGUUCUCAUGGUUAUCUAGAUAAUACUAACUGUUGAUGUUUCUUUCACGCAUACAUGGCUUUGCUAGGAGUUUUUCCACUGGUGAGGUCUGAACUCUGAAUAUUAUGAACUUAUAAGGAUAAAUCUUAUAGCAGAUCAAAAUCAUAGUCCACGCAAAAAAAAGAUCAGAAUCAUGGUUGUGCUGAUUCUAUAGGGGCCUCAUGAUGGUUUGUGUUCUUUUAUUCAAAUGAAAAAACCAAGAUUAUUAUUGUAACUGUUACAGUUGUACUAGCAGGAUUAUCCUAGAAGCUGUGUCAAUUUUUCAUCAAUUGAUAACACAAUAAGGUAGUGAAUCAUCUUUAUAGACUUUACCAUGCCUAGAUUGGUUGACUUGGAUCAUGUGUAUGUCUUAAACUUUUAGAAAAUUCUGACUUUUUAUGCUAAGCUCGUAUUUGAAGAUACAAGUUGAGGUCUGUCUUGGGACAGUGUGACUAAAAAACGAACCUUCAGUUUCUGCAAUCUGAAGAAAAAAGCUGCAAUCUAAAGCCUUCUAUAAGAAUAUCAUCACAGAGUAGAUCAAAAAGUUGGAGCGGCGAGAUAACAGUACUGAUUGAUUUUGAUAUGCUGAAAAUUUGCCAAAGUUGAGUCGCCAGGAAUUUGACGUAGCGUGUGAGGAUUUUAGCAACAUAAUUGGCUCAACUCCGGAGAAUGUAGUCUACAAAGGAGCAAUGAAGGAUGGACCUGAGGUUUCUUUCAUAUUACUAUUCUCCUUUGAAGGUCAUUGGACUAGCCAGCAUGAGCUCUUUUACCAAAACAAGGUUAUUGAUAUGGCAAGGUUGAAUCAUGAGAACAUAGCAAAGUUUCUGGACUAUUGCAGAGAGAGUGACCCAUUCUCGAGGAUGUUAGUCUUUGAGUACGCAUCAAUUGGGACCCUGUAUGAGCACCGUACCUACACUAUGGGGAAGUGGCCCAAUUCUCUUGGCUCAGACGAAUGAAAAUAGCCAUCGGCAUCGCCCAAAGUUUAAGGUAUCUGCACACCGAGUCGCGGCCUCCUUUCGCUAUAUCAGAGCUGAAAUCCAAUUCAGUAUACGUUCCAGAAGAUUUUACCCCCAAGGCUGACGACGUCAUCUACUGAAGCCCCACCGGCGACGCGAUGGGAGAGCUCCAACCUGUACGUGGGUGUGGGGACGCAGAUCCGCGUCGCCAGCCUACACAAGGCCAUGGUCAAGGUGCCGACGCAGGGUUCAUCAUCCGUCUUCGUCAGUGUUAAAGAAGAUGGAUUUUUACCUGAAUAAAUUGCGUGUAUAGAUAUGUAGAGGAUGAACUCAACAAGCGGAUCUUUCAAGGUGACUUUGUAUGUGAUUUCUACUUCUAAAAAUUAGAAAAUACCUUCAGAUCAAAGCAGCGGAUUUGUAGAUUUCUGGGUAUUGGUGCUACUCCAUCUCCAUCCAGCUUACGGUCUUUGGUCACUGAUUCUAAGCAUUGGGAAUGGCUGAACAGGGGACGAUCAGGAUUACGAUGAGGGCGAGACGUUGAAGCUGGCGUCGGCAACUUUGACCGCAACCGCGACCUUAACAUCGACCAUGGGAGCGAGGCGUCAGCCCUUGACAUAGACCGUGUUGGCCCCUUGUGUUUCUGACCAGCCGCGCUCCGGUUCCGGCAGCUCCCAUUCCAGUCGAUCCCUUCCAGGAGCCUUCAGAUCGCUAAUGAUACUAAGAUUGCAUGAGUCCAUGAAGCAAGCAAUAAUCUAUCUCAAAAUAUUGUGUCCAAGCAUAUAACGGUUCAUCAAUUUUCGAAAUGAGACUAUUGCUAUGUAGCACGCUGGCAAGACAAGAGAAUAAUUCUUGUAAGGCAUAUGUCUGAGCUAUGCCGCCUCCCACCAAACUCGAGCUCGGCGCUCUCGCAUGCAAGGCUAAGCUAUCUCCACCGACUCCUUUUUCUGUCCGAGCUCCUCCCUACCCUGGCAAAACCAAAUGCUACAAUCUCCUUUUUUUGGGAUUCUAAAACUUAUGUCAGUUCACUGUCAUGGAUAGAUUAGUGAUAAUGAGGUUAGGAUCACUACAUUGGAGAGGAUGAGGAGCUAUACUGGCUACGAGAUGUUGCUUGAGCAUUUCCAGCAGUGGCAGUAGACACAUGUGGCAGCACUUCUGGGUAGAUUUUGUCCAUUUACUUUUUGUAUCCUUUGAAUUUGAAUAUUCUGUGCAAUUGAGUCUAAAUCUGCUCAAAUUAAUCUUGUACACUCUGAAUAAAAUUAAUGUUUUGUAUCUUACUAAA